GACGAACGCUGGCGGCGUGCUUAACACAUGCAAGUCGAACGGAAAGGCCCUGCUUUUGUGGGGUGCUCGAGUGGCGAACGGGUGAGUAACACGUGAGUAACCUGCCCUUGACUUUGGGAUAACUUCAGGAAACUGGGGCUAAUACCGGAUAGGAGCUCCUGCUGCAUGGUGGGGGUUGGAAAGUUUCGGCGGUUGGGGAUGGACUCGCGGCUUAUCAGCUUGUUGGUGGGGUAGUGGCUUACCAAGGCUUUGACGGGUAGCCGGCCUGAGAGGGUGACCGGCCCACGUGGGACUGAGAUACGGCCCAGACUCCUACGGGAGGCAGCAGUGGGGAAUAUUGCACAAUGGGGGGAAGCCUGAUGCAGCAACGCAGCGUGCGGGAUGACGGCCUUCGGGUUGUAAACCGCUUUCGCCUGUGACGAAGCGUGAGUGACGGUAAUGGGUAAAGAAGCACCGGCUAACUACGUG
rnacentral:rRNA from 1 species